CCUGUGUCAUCUCUUACAUAAUCCUUCUUUUUUUCGCCAUCAUUCUGGUGUACGAGAUUGGUUUUGCAUUAUCUGAUUAAAAAUUUCCUACAUCAAAUCAAUGGAUGUAUACAGUUCCAAGGCAGUACAUUUAUUCUUUUCUUGAAUAUCACCAUCCAAAAGAAGAGACUUGGGAAUCACUUAUAUAAUUCUGAUGUUUGGCCAUCAUUCUGGUUUAUGAGAUUGAACUUACAUUUUCUGACUAAAAAUUUUCUACAACAAAUCCAUGAAUGUAUACAGUUCCAAGGCAGUACAUUUAUCCUUUUCACGAAUAUUACCAACUAUGCAUCAGGACUUAUAAGUAUAUUUAAAAUUUUAUUUAUUUUGGGUAAAUAUAUUUAUACUGGUUUUAAUUUUUAUCAAUGGAUUUCAUGAUUUCUCAGUUUGAUUAAGCAAGAAAAAAAUUCCACUAAGUUACAUUUUUAUGGUUCCUUAUUAUCAUAGCAAAAUUCAGACUAUCUGUUUUUAAUUUUAGUCAAAUUUUGUCUUUUG